AACGAACGUUGGCGGCGUGGAUUAGGCAUGCAAGUCGAACGAAUCCCUGAGGGCUUGCUUUCAGGGGGAAGUGGCGAAAGGGGCAGUAAAGCGUGGGUAACCUACCCCGGGGACCGGGAUAGCCCUCCUAACGGAGGGGUAAUACCGGGCGAUGCGGCGAGGGGGCAUCUUCUUGCCGUGAAAUGAGUUUCGCCUCGGGAGGGGCUCACGUGCUAUUACCUAGUUGGCGGGGUGACGGCCCACCAAGGGGAAGAUGGCUAGCCGGCGUGAGAGCGUGACCGGCGCCACUGGCACUGAGACACUGGCCAGACUCCUACGGGAGGCUGCAGUCGAGGAUCUUCGGCAAUGGGCGCAAGCCUGACCGAGCGACGCCGCGUGUGCGAUGAAGGCCUUCGGGUUGUAAAGCACUGUCGAGGGGGAGGAAGCCGCAAGGUUGACCUAUCCCUGGAGGAAGCACGGGCUAAGUUCGUGCCAGCAGCCGCCGUAAGAC
rnacentral:rRNA from 1 species